GACUCUGUAGCUCAGUUGGAUAGAGUGCUGCACCGGAUUUGCAGGGCAGCAGGUUCGAUUCGGGCCUAUAGUUA